UCUUUAAACUUUAAAGAAUUUUGCGGUACUUUAGUCCUGUUAGAGGAACCUGUUCUUUAAAACGAUACUCCACGAAUUAUCUUAUUUUUUCUUGUUUUCAGUAUGUAUACCGCCAUUAUUAGAUAGUGUUUUUAGAUAUCUAUUAUAAUAUAUCAUUUAUAGUAUAUUAGGUCAAGGUGCAGCCAAUGAAAAAGUAGUUGUGGGUUACAGUGUGUUGUAUAUUUCGGAUGAGGGGUUGAAUAAUUUCUUGGAAGUUGGAUUUAAUUGUAAUUUUUUUUUAAUAAGUAAUAUUGAUAUUGGCUCUAAAAAUGUACACAUCA
rnacentral:rRNA from 1 species